UAACACUGGGGAACCUGCCCCAUAGUCUGGGAUACCACUUGGAAACAGGUGCUAAUACCGGAUAAGAAAGCGGAUCGCAUGAUCAGCUUUUAAAAGGCGGCGUAAGCUGUCGCUAUGGGAUGGCCCCGCGGCGCAUUAGCUAGUUGGUAAGGUAAAGGCUUACCAAGGCGAUGAUGCAUAGCCGAGUUGAGAGACUGAUCGGCCACAUUGGGACUGAGACACGGCCCAAACUCCUACGGGAGGCAGCAACG
rnacentral:rRNA from 1 species